rnacentral:tRNA from 1 species
GGGGCUAUAGCUCAGUGGUAGAGUGCUUGCCUAGCAUGUAUGAGGCACUGGGCUUAAUCCUUAGCACCA